rnacentral:misc_RNA from 1 species
UCGUACAAAAACGUGUGAGGCAUGUGAGGGCUGUCGCUGGCUUUUUGUGACAUUGCAAAAAAGCCGUGCACGCCGGAGGGUGUCCUCUCACGUAAAAUCCAUCUCACCCCUUUUGUGCACCACCGCGUGGGUAACCCUUCGGGAUCGAACAGAUCCAGGAAGGGGGGCUCGCGUUUUCACACAAACCCCCUUUUAAAAAGUGUAGAAUGACCUCAUUUUUUGCGAUUACACGCAAUCAAUA